GGAGUGGAACAGGGGAUCCCAAGAGCAGACUCAGACGAGGAGACUGAGAUGAAGUAACCAAGGUAUUUAUUGAAACACAGGGGGAAGAUGGAGUGCAGGCCAGGGGAAGCUCAGUGGGUUGCAGGAAACCAGGUGCGGAGGCUGAGACUGGAGCGAGAGGGGUUGAGACAGGGUAACCAGGUGCGAAGGCUGAGACCGGAGCGAGAGGGGAUGGGACAGGGUGACCAGGUGAGGAGGCUGAGACCGGAGCGAGAGGGGAUGGGACAGGGUAACCAGGUGAGGAGGCUGAGACCGGAGCGAGAGGGGAUGGGACAGGGUAACCAGGUGCGGAGGCUGAGACUGGAGCGAGAGGGGUUGGGACAGGGUAACCAGAUGCGGAGGCUGAGGCCGGAGCGAGAGGUGUUGGGACAGGGUAACCAGGUGCGAAGGCUGAGACCGGGGCGAGAGGGGUUGAGACAGGGUAAGCAGGUGAGGAGGCUGAGACUGGAGCGAGAGGGGUUGAGACAGGGUAAGCAGGUGAGGAGGCUGAGGCCGGAGCGAGAGGGGUUGAGACAGGGUAACCAGGUGAGGAGGCUGAGACUGGGGCGAGAGGGGUUGAGACAGGGUAAGCAGGUGAGGAGGCUGAGGCCGGAGCGAGAGGGGUUGAGACAGGGUAACCAGGUCCGGAGGGGAAUCCAGGACAGAGUAGCAGGAUGACGAGACGUGGAGACAGGGACCAGAGUCAGAGCGGGCAGAACUGUAGCGGAGAGGAAAACAGCAUCAGGCAGGGAAAACAGGCACAACAGGAUAACAGGAUCUAACAGUAACAAUGACUAGAAGCGUAGACUGACUGAGCAGAGAUUACAAUCUGGCAG
ensembl:lncRNA